rnacentral:lncRNA from 1 species
AUUUUACAAACUGGAAUUCAGCAGGUUUCAUCAAUCAAGGUAGGCAUUAUUAUUUAUAGUGUCAUUACAAACCAGUUAAAGUCUGAAAUGGCCUAUAUCUGUUUUCGUCUGUACUGAUUUUUACUCGGUUUCGUCUUAAUUGGUCUGAAAUAUUCUUGAUAAUACUGGACUAUAGUCUGAACCAUACUUAACCGUUUUAACUUAUACUCAAUCAGUAUUUAACAAUUCUAUACAAGUCUUAACCAUGGUCUACAUGUACCUGAUCGGAACUUUACUCGACCAAGUCUUAACCAAUUUAGACCUAUUCUUUAUAUCUAUCAACUGAAUUUUAUCAAUUAAGGAAAGGUUUUAAAAAAAAAUGAAAUUUGAACACCUUGAAAUUAAAAAAUGUAUUCAAUUGAGUAUUCAAAUUAAAAUUUCACAAUAACCAAUCAUAAUAUAACUUCAACACAAUAGGUAGCAACAUUUACAUAAUUAUAUUUAUCAACUUAAAAAUAUUAAUAAAACAAGCUGAUCAAAUAAUCUCAUAAAAUGAAUUGUGACUUAUAUUUUCAAUGUUAUUCAAUUCUUUUAAUGUUUUAGAAGUAUUUUAUGGUAACUUGAAUAUUUUCACCAUUAACUUAAGCCUAGUAUAUAUUUAUGGUGUCAGUUGAGUUCAGUUUAUUAUGCAGUGAAUACUUUUUACGUUAUUUAUAUAUAUAUAAAGCAACUUAAUAAAUUUUUAAAAAUGAGACCUUUGUUUUGUUUUGUUAAACCAAGAAUUUAAUAUAAUCAUGACAUAAGAAUUUCCAUAGCAAUCCUUGAUGACCUUUUUAAAUAAGGAAAUGUGUUCCAAAGUAACAGUAAAAAUGUAUUUCAAUUAAAUUUAAGUGGUUUUGUCAAUUUACCGCCUAGCAUCACAAAGCCUUUACAAAAUCUCGAAUAAUUUCGUUUGGAAAAAACUGCUGAUUGUAAGGUAUUACCAUUUGUUUUUUUUUUUUUUUGAAUUCAUAAGGACAAACACAUAUGUGUGUGUAUUGUUACUUCAGACAGCUUUUUACAUGUAACCGUUUUUAACGAAUAUAAUGUAGAUAACGUUAUUGAUGUUGCUAUUGAUAUAAGCUGUUAGGUAUCUACAGGUGGUGUGUCAUUCUCUCUUGUAUUUAUUGAUAACAUUUCUUAUCAGAUGAAAAACAAAUAUAUAUGAAUGACUUGCACAAUUGUGCAUUAUUAUGUUACAGUACAAACAAUUCAAUUUAAGACAUUGGUCCGUACUUUACAACUGAUUUCUUAUGAUCACAUUUCUAAUCAGAUGAAAAACAAAUAUACUGAAAAGGCGUAUAAAGAGACAGAACAUAUUUGUUUUACUUUACUUUAUUCUUUUGUUACAAUUUUUAAUAUGGAUAUCACGAAGAUCAUUUUAAAUGGUGGGAGAUAUUAUGGACAUUAUUGGGCAAAUCGUGAUUCAAGCAUGAAAUUAGGUAUAUGAGUGGACUAAAUGAUAAUUAAAAAAAAUCAGCUACUGGCCAUAACAAUUUUUUUUCAAGAUGGCCACCGCUCAUUUUGCAAAUGGCGUCAUAUCCAAUUGGUUACAUUUCGUAAAUCUUUUUGAAAGCUGUGUAAUAGGUAUAAUCCAAUGUUAGCUUUGAUGAAACUUAAAUGACCAUUCAUGAAGUACGAAAAAAAAACCAAUACCUACAUGAAGAAAAAAUGUGACUCCCGGUCCCAAAAUGGCGGCAAAACGUGGAAAAUGUUUAUCUUUGUAAUUUCUUUCAACUUAACAAGAGUUACUGGUGGACAUUUCGUCAUUUUUAUAAAUUUCCUGUUUACAAAACUUUGAAUUUUUCGAAAAACUAAGGAUUUUCUUAUCCCAGGCAUAAAUUACCUUAGCCGUAUUUGGAACAACUUUUUGGAAUUUUGGAUCCUCAAUGCUCUUCAACUUUGUAUAUGUUUGGUUUAUAACUAUUUUGAUAUGAGCGUCACUGAUGAGUCUUAUGUAGACGAAACGCGCGUCGGCGUACUAAAUUAUAAUCCUGAUACCUUUGAUAACUAUUUACUACUUACUUUGUUAAGUUCAAAUGACUAUACAGUUUGUUUAUAAAGACAGGUUGAUUUACUUAUAUUUAUCUGUUAGUUACCAAUACACAAACCUGUACACGAAAGUCCAGAACAGUAGCAUUAACAGUUACCAACACAUUUAAAAAUCUUGACACGAGGAUCAGCUUCACCAAAGAAGCGCAUUUUGGUUUAAAAUUGUCAUUGUUUAUUUUUUUCAUUCACCCAACUCCUGUGUUCAGGACUUGGUACAUGAACCUGUCGAAUGCAUUGAUCCGGACAAGCCCAAACAUGUACAUAUACAAAAGAAGAUGUGGUCUGAUUGCCAAUGAAACAACUAUCCACAAAAGACCAAAAUGACACAGACAUUAACAACUAUAGGUCAGACGGCCUUCAAACAAUGAGCAAAGCUCAUACCGCAUAGUCAGCUAUUAUAGGCCCCGAUAAGACAAUGUAAAACAAUUCAAACGAAAAAACUAACGGCCUUAUUUAUGUAAAAAUAUUAACAAAAAACAAAUAUGUGUAACACAUAAGCAAACGACAACCACUGAAUUACACCUUGAUAUGCUCCUCUUUUGAUGAGCUCCAGAAGAUUUAAAUAGUUUGCAAGGAAGCAGCGGUCUUAUGAUGCUAUUCCGCCUACCAGAGGUAUUUAUUAUGAGUUUGUAGUAGGCGGAAUAGCAUCAUAAGGCCGCUGCUUCCUUGCAAACGAUUUUUGUCGUAGCUCCUUAAACGGCGAUGUUUCCGUACAUGAUGCAAACAAUUACUUCUAUCAUGUCCAUGUCUCUUUCUUCAUACAAAUCGGGCAAAAACGUCCAUUACAUCUGAGAGUACUUCUUAUGUCUGCCAAGCUGACCCCGUCACUUUCCUGUGAAAUGCUGACACAGUGUCACAUCAACUUAAUGCAUGGAAGGAAGGAUAAAAUAAAAUGCUACACGAGGACGAACCGCAUGUGAUAUGAAAUGUGCAGGAAGCCAUCGAAAGUUUUUAUUCCUUCAAAAACCUAUCCACAAUUUGUCCACACCUAAUCUUGCGAAUAUUGCAAUUCCUAAUAGUACUACAUUCUACGUCAGUACUACUAAAAAUUACUUUUUGCAACCAUUUUCAGCAGCAUGCAUAUGCUUAUCAUGGACAGUCAUUCGUGUGUCUGCUUUUAAUAGUUACAAGGGGCUAUCCAGGAAGUAUCCGUAUUGAAAUUGCAAAGAAUAUGUUCACCUUGAGUAGCAUAAACAUUUUCAUUAGUCUUUAAAGAAGCAAUUCUGUCGGCAAGAAACUUGAAAAUUCCGUUUUGUUGUCAUCUUCACAGAGAAAACUGCUCCAAAUCCUUGGCGUUCUACCAGAACCAAAAACUAUCAGUCUGGCACUAGUAUUUUGCCUUUUGUUUUCGUCCCAGCCUUUAAAUAAUUAAUUUAGUAAAAACCAAAUCAAUGUAUACUCUUGGAUACUUAUAGAAGGAAGAUUUUAUGUAAAUUGCAUUGCCACCCGUGGGUGAUGUUUGUGAAGGAAAGCCAUAUCUUAGAGAUGGAUCGGUAACCAUCGAGCAUCAUUUACACAAUCAAGACCAAUAUGAGUAUCAUGCUUGACAUGGACAUUGUGUAAAUUACGAUAUCUGACUCAUAACAUGAGCGUGCUACUGAAGGCACAUGAAGUUCUUCAUUCAUAAUUGAACGCAAGAAAUGAAAUUGUGGUCGUUAUGACUUUCUUUCUUUACACCCCUUGAUCUCAUACUAGAACGUCACAGAGUCAUGAACUAUAUUUUCGGUGUUUACGCUUUCAUAACGGCUGGCAUUAUCAAUUCAAGCAAACCACAUGCAGUUAUAUGAUGCGCGUGUAAAUGUCUAAUUAUAUUCGAUCAUACAUGAAAAGAAUCUGCCAUUCUAGUUGUUGCAAUAUUGGCUUCAGUGAGAGCACAUGUCCAUCCACUGUCACGCAAUAUAUCACUCAGAAUUUUAAAACAAGCCAUUUUAAUGUACAAUCCACCAAACAUGACGAUAAACUUAUGUUCUCAAUACAAAUCUGACCAUUCCAACUGAAAUUGCUUAUCCAAUACCAAAGGGUUUAUCUGCAGCUAUAAUUGAUGUUUGCCAGAUAUUUAGAAAGUUAACCACCUUUUUCACCUUAUCCAUCGAAUGCUUGAUCAUUGCAACUGAAAGGGUGUGUUUUCAAACAGUGACAUCAAAUAAGUAACCAUGUAUACUCAAACAAUAGAGCCUAGAUGCUUAGAGGAAUGAAUGACGACAAAGAUAUGUUUAAAAAAAUUUACGAUUUCCGUCAUUGUUCCCUUGAAGGGCGUGUAAUUCUUUCUUUAUUGAUAAAUAGUUUGCGCAUGCGCGAAAUUGUUAAACGCAUGUAUAUCAUAACCUGAAAAAAUGUCAUCAAACAAAUUCAUAACAUCUUUAAAAAUUCAAAAGCGCUAAGCAUGUAAUAAACAGUUCUGAAUUUUGUAACAUUGUCACGCAUGCACAAACCCUGAACAUGUCAAAUAUUCAUUUCUAGUAUAAACGUCAAAUAUAAAGAAGGUAUCCACCAAACCUGAUAAUAUGUUUUACCCAAAGAAGACCAAAGAAAACGUUUUCAAGAAUAAUAAGUAUUACAAUCUGAAAAAGAAAACAGCCAUUUUAGAAAAGGUGGUGGCCAUCUCGAAGAAGAAAAUGUUCUAAUGGCCAGCAGAUUUUAUUAAAAAGUAUAUAAAUUGAAUUGUAUAUACUAUAACAUAAUAAUGCACAUUGUGCAAGUCCUUUAUAUAUAUUUGUUUUUAUCUGAUAAGAAAUGUGAUCAAUAAAUACAAGAGAGAAUGACACACCACCUUCAAUAGCAUAAUCAAUAACGUUAUCAACAUUAUAUUCGUUAAAAAAACCGUUUGUCCUUAUGAAUUAAAAAAACAAAAAAACAAACAAAGGGUUUUUUCCUUACAAUCAGCAUUUCAAACAAAAUUAUUCGAGAUUUUCAAACAAAGGCAGUUGCACAAUGACUGCUACUGGUAUUGACUGUUUUUUUCGUCCAGAUAGUGUUAGCUUUACUAUUGAAAAAAAAGAAACUAAGUCAACUUUUCAGAAAAUAAACUUUAGCUCUUUUAACAUUGUUAUACGACGAUGAAUACUAUUGGAUUUAUUGAAACAUUAAUUUUAGCUAAGAAGUUAUCGAGACUGUAUCCCUGGCAUGCACACAUGAAAUUGAAAAAAAGUGGACAUUUCUGAUUCCUCGACGAAAAAGUUAAAGUUAAUAUCUACCCCCUCCCCCCCUCCCCCCCAACCCCCAACCCCCCAACCCCAACCCCUAAACAAUUAUAAAAAAAACAUUUAAAGGAAUAUGUUGAACUUUAAUAAUUAUCUGAUGACAACAGAUAAGUUUAAAUUGAUACGUACCGUGUGCAAGAUUUGACAUUAUUAUAUCAUAGAUAAAGAAAUGUUGUAGCAGCAUCAAACAAAUAUAUUAUACUGCUUUAUGAUUUCUUUUAUCGUAUUGUGGCUUUCUUAUUACAAUACUAUUAUAACCUUUUCAGAUACUUAUCAGACAGACAUGUUUUUGUUUACAAUGAAGGAAAGUAGUAGGCAUGCAUUGAGAAGCUCAGUCUUGUUGGCUUUGUUUUGUAAGUAAAUUAUGUCAGGACAGAUGUGAAAUUAUAUAGCAUAUGCAGUCAAAUGAAAAUUAAAUCGUUUUUAAAAUCAUACAAAACGUCGAAAACAGAAUGUUUUGCGCUUAUUUAUAAAUCAAAUUCACAAUUGAAUACAAUGCCACAGUUGUUUACCAAUCUUUAAAACAGAAAUAAACUAAAUAAGCAAAUAAAGAAAAAAAUGGAAUCGCACGAACAAUGAUGAACAUUAAGAGCUAGAAUUGGACCGUCGUUAUGGGGAGCUUAUCUUACUAUAUACUCAUAUUCCGCUUAGUAAAUACUAUAUCGGGACUACCUUAUUGCAAAUUAACCUAAACGACAUAAUUUUAAGGCAUUUACAAUUAACUGAUUGAAAAACACCUUAUUUUUUAGAUUUGUGUAAAAGAAAAAUAUACAACAAUCACGAAAUUCAGCUUCAGCAAAGGAAUGUAAAAAAAAAUGUAUAUGUCUUCCGGAGACAGUUCUAUAUGACAAUGAAACAUUUAUAACAAUAAGACUAGGUAUAUGUACAUAAACCAUCCCAGAUACAUAUAAUUUUCGGCAUACACGGAUGACCUAAUGUGUCACUUUGCAAUUUUGAUAGCGGAAAUGUUAAUGCAUAGCAUUAUUGUUAUCAAUAUUUAAACAAUGUGGAGUAUGAUCUCUAUGCAGUCUUUUGCAAAAUAUUUUACUUAUCAAACUGGUAUUGCGUACCUUCACUGCAUAAUAUAACAAAUAUACAAACAUACCUCUUCAUUGUUUAUAUUUUAGUAUAUGGAUUUCAUAUUAAUUCCACGACGUUUUGAGAAGUCAAGGAUGUAUAUCUACGCAACCGACACAUUGCCGUCUUUUUUUUGUUAUAUAGCAAAAUGAAAAUUUAAGUCCCUCGUACAUUUAGUACAUAUCGAAAAGGAAACCGUUUACAGAUGUCCGUUUAAUAGCAUUAGUAUGUAUGCCUAGCAUAACUCAACCAACAAUUAAGAAACAUAGAAAAAGAUAUUACCGUCCUUUACGCUGUCACAAGGAGUCAUUUACAAUAUAUGUUAACAGAAAAUCGCUAUGAAAAUCUCUUUUAUGUUUUUGAUUAGUUACCUUUGUAAAUACUUUGUUGGUGUUUUUAUCCAAAAAAUUUAGGAGUUGAUCAAAUAUAAAGAUAGAAUCGUGUUUUAUGGAAGGAAUUACAUUGUUUGAAUUAUUAGAAUAUUUGACAGAAAAAAAAUUCUAUAAUUGUUUUUUCUUUCCUUUUUUAUUAAUCAUGUUAAUACAUGCUAAAAUUUGAGGGAUUCUUUUAAAUACAAAACGUAUCCAAUUUUUAUUAUUUUUUUGCUGAGAAAUAACUUAUAUCCCACCGGCUGCUCGCAGACAAUUGAUACUGAAAUGGAAUAACGAACACUUGAAAACCAAUUAAGAUAUACUAAUACUGAAUGCUACAUUAUCAAGACGUUUUCAAAAGAACUGAAUUUAUCGCAAUAAAAAAGUCUUAAAUUGGACUGAAAGACUGAACAAAGUUGAAUAACUUAUUGUUUCGAUUUUUUAAAUGGAUGUUAAGGUAGAUUAUAGGUAUAAGUUUCCCGAGAGUGAAUUUUCUUAUACUUUGCCAUAAUGAAGACUUUACAAUGCUCUUAUCAAAAAUAUAAUAAAAAGGAUAGGUCACCUUGUUAUUUUUCGUGCUAUGAGUUGUUGAAAGUGCCUAAUUGUGCUUAGAAUCAUCAUGAAAACAAUAGCUUGUAUAUGUUUUAGGAAAAGAAAAAGAAAAAAUGGUAUCACCGAACUUGUUUUCUUGGUACAAGUGAAAAAAAAAUCCCUAUCAUUCCAAUAUAAAUUAUUUAUUAAAAGAGCUAUUUCCCCUUAAGGGCAUACGAUACAGUUUUGAUCCUGUAUUUACAAGUUCAUGAAAAUUUGCAUAUAGGCUAUUUUUUACCUUGAUUAAAUCAGAUAUGUAAAAAAAAAUAUACCUUCAUGUGCUACUUUUUGAGUUAAUUAGUGAAUUUUAUAUUUUGCUCAAAAUUCAGAUUGUUAAUUUCUUUUUUCGAAAGAAGACAUAACUUCUUUUAUAAAAGAUAACACAAAUUGUUUUUAAAUUAAUCGUAAUUCUGUGUAUUUUGUAUCCUAAAAAAAAUAUGUCAAUUUUUUAUUCGAAAUACUCAUAUUUAUAAUGAUGAAUUUAGGAAAAACGUCAUUUUUACUGCAUGUUUAUCAAAAUUUUAAAAAAUCCUCUAUGUUACAAAUUUUGGAUCACAUAUCUCCCUGCAAAAUGAACAAAUUUCUGUUUUUGAAAAAAGGCAUGAACUCGUUUUCAAAUAAUCAGUUUUAUGCUAAAUAAUCAUUCGAAAAAAACAUCUUUUCUUUAUGUCACAGUUUGACGUCGCGAAAAUAACAUUUUACGUUAGCAACGUCAUUACCUCCCCUGUAACUGUAUCGUAUGCCCUUAAAUAGCUUAGUUGAAACAAAUUAUUCUAAAACACAAAUGUUUGGUAUUCGUUUAAAUAAUUUUAUUAAUGCAAUACAUUAGCAAGUUUUCUUCAAAAAUCAAAGAAUUAACCAACCUUGACCUUUGGCUAUUAUUGUUUAUGCAACAACGUACAUAUUAGUACAAAAUGUGUGCUAAUAGUGCAUAUACCCUAAAUCUAUUUGUUAUUGGUUCUUUCGACUAUUAAGAAUUGUUGUUUAACAUUGAUUUACAAUUUCAUUCAAGUUUAUUUCCAUCAACCAUCAAAGUUCUAUGCAUUUUAUUUUGUUCUUCCUGUGAGAUACGUGUUUUAAUUUGCAUUGUCAGGGAAAUGUAUAGUGGACUUUUACAACUCACAUAAAUUCAUCCCUACCGAGGGUCUAGGGUUUUCUCCGGGCACUCUAGCUUCCUCGACCAACACAAACUGGUCUCCACAAAACUACACACCAGUGCUUCAAAUUGCGUUAAACACCAAUCAAAUAAUCAAUCAACCAAUCUCAUCAAUACGAGAAAAUAAAACAGAUUACAUUUUCUUCUGAAUGCUUGAAUGCUUUUCAGUUCCACACAUCAAAUGAAUGGAUUACAACUGUUAUAUUCUUGACUUUGUUACCGUCAUUUUCUUAUGUAGAAAAUAGUGGAUUGGAACUGGUUUCACAGCUAAAUAAACAUCUCACUUGUAUGUCAGUUGCAUUAAAUUCUGUUAUAUUGACAAUGACGCAUAAACAAGCCAAAAUGACACAAAAGGUAAAAAUGUCAAAAAAUGGGUACAACAGUCAACAUUGUGAUAGCAUUCUCAUCAUUAUAAACAACAAACAAAUGUACAUGUAACAAAGAACCAUAAACAUCCUUAUUUUUCUUUUUUUAUACAAUAUUUUUCUAUGUAAAAUCCACCCGUAAAGGAUUGACAGAUUUUAAGCACUCGCGUAGAAACGUGCGUUUGACGUCAAAUAGUUAGAUAUAAAAUGAUUUCGUCGUUCAAAAUAUGACGGGGUACAAGGUCAAGUCAAAACGAUAUCACAAAAACAAGACUUAACACUAAAAGUGAUAAUAAGAAAAUAAAAUAUUUGUUUCGUUCAAAGUAACAUGACGGAAUACAUAAGUACAGAGUAAUGUCAAAUGAAUAUCACAAAAAACAGACUUAACAGUAAAAGUAAUACUACUAAGGACAAAUAAAAGAAUACGUCUGCAUGCUAUUGAGAUGAUAACAACGUCAGUAUCAAUACGGCAAAACAAUCAUGUAUUAUUUGUGAAGUUGAUACAUUAUUUUUAUCAUUAGAAAUUUCAGCUUCCUCAACAGCAAUAUACAAACCUCAGCUGUAUAUGGGAUUUCCCAUCUCAUUCGUUAUUCAAGAGCUAGUAUAUGAUACUCACACAAUAUAAAACGUUGCUAUUAACUGUGCUGAAAUUUCAUAAAACAUGGUUAUGUCAAAAAAACGUUUUAAAAAAACCUUCAUCUAAGAUACCAAAAUAAAACAUGAGACUAUCAUACAAGUGGGAAGUCUAGAUAGCUUUAAAACCCUGUGUAAUCCACCAUUUGUUACAUAAGGAAAUGCAUAUACCAGGUUAGGAAUAUGACAGUUGUUAUUCAUUCUUUUGAUGUUUUGCAUCAUUUGAUUUUACUAUUUGUUAAAGAACUUUUCGUUUUAAAGUUUCCUUUGAUGUCAAUGUUUUAUUUUAAUAUUUUAGAAAACCAGAAUGGAAGCCAUAUAUUUGUUGUACAUUUACAUUUUCGAAUUUUAUCUUGAUCGUGAUCUAGGAAUAAAAUUAACAAUAUUCUGGUCAAACCCAUGUGUUAAUGUCCACGCAAUAUAUGGUUUCCAUGAAUUAUUUCGAUUCUAAUUGGAAUAAUUGGUAAAAUAAAACUGAAACGAAAAUAAGAUUGCUGUAUGUACAAAUGUAAGGCUGUUUUAACUUACCUCAUUUAAGAUAGAAGCUACCAAUUUCAAAAAUUCUAAGUGUUCAAGUCUUACAUGAAUAAUAUCUUAAAUUACAAGCAGUAAGUAAAAACGUGUUGAAUGCUCAUAAUUCUGCACCCAACAUUACUUUGAAUUUGGUUACUAUUUCCUGUUAAGAGUUUACAUGUCGUUAUUAAAGACUGAGCAGCCAUGUUGAUGUGACUUGCUGAAUUAAUGUAGCGAAUAACGCAAUAAAACAGAAAAUAAAACAAAAACUGUCCCGAACCUCCAUUUAAAUGCAAUGUAAUCCGAACUUACGGCGUAUAUGGGGCACGGUAGUAUUUCCUGGCCCAUAAGGGAUAAAGAUAGCAAUUUUAGAACUUUCACCACAACAAUUUUAUUCUAUUCUUCUAUCAUUAUACUAUUCAAAAAUGUAUAUGAAUCUGUAUAAUGAUUGUUUACUAGUAUUGGUAUCUUUAACACACUCAAGUCCACUAGUGCUUUGAAGCAUUUUAUCAUGCAGUAAUUACAUAAAUUAGAAAUUUAUUUUCACCUGAAGUAAAAUUAUUUCAUAUUUUUCUACACUUGAUUUAUCCCUCCGUUUGGGAAUUUAUUUCAGUUGAGAAUGUAAUUUUCUCCAAAUCUCACUGUUUAGACUUUGAAAGUAGUGUACACAAAAGAGCAACCUAAAUUCUGAAAUACAAAUGCGACCAUGAUACCUUUACGUAACGGAAAACAUUCAGUUUGAGAGUUUUUAUUGUAUGAAGUCGUGUUAUGAAAUGUCGUUAAUAUGCUGAGAUCAUUCAUGAAAUGUUGCGGAAUUUCAUUUUAUUAUGAGUUUAUACAUUUUUUAAAGCUUUUGUGCAUUUGUUCUUUUAUAAUGCAUGUGAAUAGGAAAACGAUUAUGUUUUUUUUUUCUUUCAAUUUCAAUUUACACAUAACAAAUAUGCACUAAUCUUAGUCUGCGCCAAGUAUAUAUAUAAGCAGUAAGUAAACGAGUCUAAAUUGAAAACUACGUUCAAACCUAUGAUUGCGUUGAAUAAAAACCGCAAUUUUUAUUCGUGUGCAUGUAAAACAAAUUUCGUUGUAGAAGGGUCUAAAUACAACACAAACAACAUUUUCCAAAAGACCAAAAUAGCGAAAAAGUAUAUGUAAGCAAAAAGCAUUUGACUAACAGGUCGAACAACUGAUGUUCUUUAACCCUGUUGACCGCCAUUGGCGAUUGCCAAAUAAAAUUGAUCACAAGAUGUUACAAAAUGGAUUUUAAUAUAAUUUUAAUACUAAACAGAAAACAAUUAACUUGUGGCCACUGUUGAUGUUAUGCCCAAACAUACGUUCAAAUUAUAUUUUUAUAUUUUUCGUGUACAACAGAUUCUGAUUUAUAAGCAGUAAGUAUAUAUAUAUCAACAUUUUUAUCAUGGUGUUGUUUACAAAGCGAAAAAGGCAAGUCACAUUAUAAUUAACUUUUUUUCUAUUUAUGAGGUAUGGAAAUAUAUCCAUGAUAUAUCAUUAUAAAAAUUAUCACUUUGUUGUUUUAAAGAUGGCUUCAAUCUUUUGGGUAGUAAAAUCGUAACACGCACGUUUAGACCUUUCACAAAAUCAGCAAAGGAGUAGGUCCAGUAAGGGCCGAUUUUGGCCGCAAAUUUCAGGUUUAUAUUACGAAAGAUUUUGGACACUUUUUAAACACUUAAGGAGGCUCGCGGGUAUAAAAUUUUUAGAAAAAAAUUAAACAUUUCUUUUUCAUUACAAAUUUUAUUUAUUACCUUGAGUAGUUGUUUUUUUAUCGUACGGUACAAAAAUCUUUCCAAAAAAUUAAUUCGUGUUGGCCCCAGGUGACUUUUACAAUGUAUAUAUCAUUGAUAAAGCUCCAAAGUAUCUCCCUUUAGUGCAAAAAUGCCAUUUGAGCAAAUUCUGUAAUAUAUAUUUUUUUCGAUAUUACCUUUUUUUCUCCUAUUAGUUCAACAGAUUUUUUUUUACAAAAAUGUAUGCUACUUUCGAAGGAAGAUUGUGAGCGUAAAUGAACGCUUUUUAUUUUAUUUUUCUAUUUAGUAUAAGAUAAAGUUCAUUUGUAGAAAAAUAUAGCACAAUCCUAUAUUAAAAUACAAUUUUGAUUUAGACCCGCGAGCCAUCUUAAUUGUCUAUUUCCAUUGAUUCAAUUAGUUUAUGUGAAAGAUUUUAACUGAUUUAGUCAUUUAAAACGCUCCUAUUCAAGUUUAAAUAUGACAAAUUUGUGUCAAAUAUGCCAUAAAACGUCACUUUUCAGAUGGUUUUUGUCACAAAUCAAAGUGGUUGCAUCCGUGUUCAUCCUCAACCUUUAUAUAUGUUAUGUAUUAACAUCAAAUACAACUUACAUUUCAAUAUUAUGAAUGAACACGAAUGCAGCCACUUUCAUUUAAGACGGAAACCAUCUAAAAUUUAAUUAAAAUGUUUAUAUUGUAAAGAUUUCAGUAAUUUAGCAUGACUUAAUGAUGCUAGUACCCGAUAUAUGUGCAUUGUAUUGUCUAAAACAGCCCAUAUUUAUGUAGCAGAAGCAUUCUACUUUCCAGUAAAUAUCCAAAAGACUACAUUUUCACGAUUUUGUAAAACUACUAUAUUUUGGGGCCAAAAAGGGGUCUUACCUUUGAGACAUUGAUACAAUUGAUUUGCAUGUCUCACUAAAUUUUAACGAAUUUCAUUCAGAAAAAAACGAAUUAGCAUAGAUAGCGGGCUUAAUUUACAGUCUGUAAAAAGUAUAUCAUCACUUCAUUGCUGGUUGCAUGUUUCUUACAAAUUACUUAAACUACCAAUACGGGCUUACAAUGCUUUUGACAAAGUUCAGAUGAGUGGGGAAACGACAAUAUGAAUCAAAAAAAAGUAAUAUAAUAGUCUUAUAGAUUCCGAGAAACCUAUGAGCCAUAUGAACCAAGAGGGUAAGAAAUAAUAACCAACUCGAUCCAAUGUCAACUUUGCCCUAAGCUUGAAUUUUGAGGAAAUUAGAAAUUUUAUCUCAAUGACUUAUAUUACAUCAUGGUAUUAUUCAUAAAAAAACAGGUAUCUGCAUAUUACAAUACAUAAAAGUUCUAAAACAAUGCAUUAUAAAGGCAUUCAAAACGAAGCCAAGUGUGCAAAGUUAGUACGUAAAUUAUUCAAAACCAUAACACAACGACACAGUACCCCGUCGCUAACAACCAUAUCCAUGAAUAUCUGUGAAACACCGAAACCGAUAGGAAACUAUAAUGAACUUUGUUGAAUAAUUUGCGAGGGAAGCACAAAACAAUACUUCCGCAAAUUUGCAGAUUGAACCUUGCCUUGCUGAUAUAAAGGGUAUAUCUAUAACUGUUUAUAUUACCCGGGUACGUCCACUUGUAUUUGUAGUAUUUGUAUUUUUAUCCAUCUGAUAAGUUCAACUUUUUGCAACUGAUUUUUAAAGUUCGUUCAUGUGUUGUCCUGUUACACCACUGUCCCAGGUUAGUUGAAGGGUUGGGAUCCCGCUCACAUGUUUAACUCCGCCACAUUCUGUAUGUAAGUGCCUGUUCCAAGUCAGGAGCCUGUAAUUCAGUGUUUGUUUUUCUAUUUAUGUGUUACAUAUUUGUUUUUUGUUAAUUUUUUGUACAUAAAUGAAGCCUUUAAUUAUCGCGUGUACAUUGAUUUUCAUUGUCAUGUUUCGGCCUUUUAUAGCUGACUACGCGGUAUGGACUUUACUCAUAGUUGAAAGCCGCACGAUGACUUAUAGUUGUUAAGUUCUGUGCAGUCUGGUCUCUUGUUGUGAGUUGUCUCAUUGACAAUCAAACCACAGCUUCUUUGUUAUAUCAUAUAUCAAACCUUUUUUUUUGCAGAUGUCUCCUCUUGUACAAGUUCAAAAUCUAACAAUGGUGGACAUCACAAAGGUACUUAUUAUAUUCAUAAGACACCUAUAGAAAUUCCAAAUUGUUCAGUAUGAACAAUUCAUUUAGUGAAACGACGAGGAUAGCCACUUAUUCAUAGUUUUGUCAAUGUCGUUAACUAGUUUCGAAGCAGUGAUUUUUUUAAAAGAUGUGAAGAAACGAAGCCUGAUUAAAAGAAAGAAAAACUUGGGAUCCCCGAAACCGAAAAUAUGCAGAUUAAAAAAGUUAAACAUGUGAAAGAACUUAAACUCACACAGUUAAAUUAUCUUGAAACACAGAUCUCAUAAUUAUAAAUUAUAAACUUUUUAUUUUUGUAUCUAAAUACUUUUUUGGGGUCCUUAAUGCUUUUCGACACCCUAUGUAAGUUGGCCUUCUUCCAACAUUUUAACCUAUUAUGUUCACGCAUCGUUGAUAUAUAAUGGAAUUUAAUGCCAUACAAAUGAGAUGUUUAGCGCUGUAAAACCAUGUUCAAUCCCAUAUUUUCUACAUUUGCAAAUGCCUGUACCAAGUCAGAAAAAUGACAGUUGUCCAUUCGUUUGAUGUUAUUUUAUUAUUUUAUUUUGCCAUUAAAUAAGGGACUUUCCGUUUAGAAUUAUUCUCGGAGUUCAGGCUGAUGAGAAGAUAACCGCUGAAAAUUGUUUCCUGUGUGACACCUAUGUACGUUAGGACAAUACAGUUUAUCAACGGGAUAUAGACAUUGUUAUGGGACCCUAUUGUACUCCUUUUAUAGCUAAUUUUUUCCUUUGUUAUAAAUACUAGUGUAUGACUCAACUGACUACUUUAACGAUUUAUUUCAAUUCCAUUUUUUAUUUGAAAUUCAAAAAGUACAACACCUACUGUAACCUUUGAGAACUCAAAGCGUAUAGUAAUCACGAUUAUUUUAGUUGACGAUUAAUCUUUCACUAUUCCAUUUUUUUUUAUUUUUAAAAUUAAAAAACAAUUUUAAAUAUAAAAAGUUUAAACCCGGAAGUCUCGUAUGACUUAACAGUUGGUCUGAUCACGGAAACAAUAACUGGACGCCUUUAUUUUCGUUUUUCUCUCAAAAUAACCCAAACUGAAUAAUCAUAAGAAUAGAUGACAAAUGCGAUUAUGCAUGGUACCUAUAAAACAGAGAGGCAUGAUUAUUAAUUUAUUGUGGAAGGAAAUGAAACGACACACAAAAUGAGGUCUUCUCGUUUAAUAGUAUAUAUGUUCGUUUACCCAAAUGUGGUAGACGUUAUAGAUUUCAACGCGUUUCUGGUUUGUUUCGAUCUGAUGAACUAAUCCCAUUUAAACUGAUUUUCAUUUUAUUUUUAGUUUGUUUGGUUAAACCACUUUAAAAAAAGAAAAAUGGGUUUCGGGCAUGAGUUAGCCCGCUAUAUUUAAUAUAUGCCUGUUCCAAGUCAGGAGCCUGUAUCUGUAUUGUAUUGGUUUUCAUUGGCUCAUGUCUAUCUUAUUUGAAUUUUUCGUAAAUUAUUUUGUUGGACACUACAAGACAUUUCAAGUGAUUCUGAAUUGACAAUUGAUGACUUUUCAUAUAUAUUCUUAAAUAAAUCAAACCAUAGAUGCAAAAUAGUGUUUUGCUCUUUAUCUCUUAUGAAAAUUAUUGACUUUUGAUGUAAUUAUAUAAGAAGUGUUACAUUUUUGGUUGAGAUAGCGGUGUGUAAUUUUAAAAAAAAUCUGAAUUUUGAACACACAAUUUAGUCAAAGAAACCUCAAUUUCAAAAUGUGUAUAAUGGAAUGUAUGAUGGUUGCUUGAUGACUGUCCAGUGGCAAAUAGUUAAUGCAUUUUCAGAAUAAUAUGUACAAGAGGUGUAUAAUUAGUUAUCAAAGGUACCAGGAUUAUAAUUUAAUACGCCAGACGCGCGUUUCGUCUACAUAAGACUCAUCAGUGACGCUCAGGUUGAGAGUGAAAAAUUAAAUAUUAUACCAUUGCAGUGUUUGUCUGUCCAUUUAUCUUUGUCCAACAAAUACUUUUAUUAUUGUUUUCCCAAAAACUAUUGACAUUAUUAAACAGGAUGAGUUCAUAUUUGGAGAGGUGUUUUAGUGAUAAACUAUGAUGUGUAAGCAUUUUCGUACAUGUAUCUGUCACUCAUUUGCCUGUGUACUGUUUGCUUUAUUUCAGUAUGUUGAAUAAACACAACCUUUUCAUGACUUCUAUCAGUAGGGCUGCUGAAAAGAAUGAUUACAUAUUUGGUUAGUGGCUAAACAAUGACCAGUUGUGUCUGUCAGUUUGUAGAUACCACCUUUUAACGGAUACUUUGACCUACAUGUAGAAAUAGUCAUAUGCUUAGCAACAUAACAGAUGUAUUUAUUGUUUGUAUAUAGAACAAAUCACAGUGUAUCUAUUACACUUACAAUUUUAAUGGUUUGUUAUACUAAGAAGCUUGAAAGUUAAUUCAAAGUACAGAAAGUAUUUAUUUUGAUAUGAUAUUGAUAUCAAUAAAAUAAAACCAUCUUCUAAAUGUUUUAUAAACACGAUAAACAUGUUGAACACACUCUCUUGUACUUGAAAGAAAAUAUCCCAAAACAUUGUUAUAACAUUAUUUGAUGUUCAUGAUGUUUUAUAAACAUAAUAAAAUAUUCGAGAAAGUUUGUUUUUUUCAAAAGAAAUGUCGUACACGCCUUUACUUUUCACAUAAUCUUGUUAUGUCUUGACAAUAUUUUAAUAACAGUAUGUCAAUAUUCGUAGAAAUAUACCAAAACACGUGUUUGCUAUAUUUUUCCAACCAUACAUUUUAUGUUUUUCUUUUCAUUUUUUGGCAAUAUUUUGAUAACAUUCGACAUAAAAAUUUAAUGAAAUUUUUAAAAAAUGUUUGUGUUUGAUGGGAAGAAAAGCAUGUAGGUCUAGUUUUUGUUAGUUCUUAGCAUGCCAAUAAUUCAUGUAGUUAUGAGUCUAUGUUCAGUUGCAUUAGUUGAUAUAAUAAACAUUUGUAUAUGCAAUGAUAUAUUUUUUAUGUAUCUAAAGACUCUAUAAUGCUAAGAAUAAUUUGUAUUGUCCUGACAAAGGAUAUAACAACAUAGUUCUUGUAGAUCAAUUUAAGUAAUCAUCUACCCGUACAAAAGAUUAACUGCUUAAAAUAAUUCCAGAUGAUGAUAACUUACAUGUAGCUGUAGUUCUACCAGUGGUUUGUGGUAUUCUGAUUGUACUCAUCGUAAAUGGCAUAGGUGUUUGGAAGAAGU